CCCGCCGCCGCCCGCGGCUCCUCCGUCCGCCGCCCCGCCGCCUGCACCUCCCCCGGGCGGGGCCGCCCCGGGACGGGCAGCUCUCCCCCCCACCCCUCGCCGCCCCGCCCCGCGCCGCCCCCCGCCCUCGGCCCCUCGGCAGCCGCGGCGGGUGGUGGUCGCGCCGUCGGGGCGCGGGGUCUGCCCGAGCCGAGAGAUGGGGAGCGGGCGCGUGGUGUCCCUGCAGGAAGGGUUCACCCACACCACCAACUGCCCCCACUGCCCGCAGCAUCCAUCCUGGGGCUGGGCACCAAGAUGCUCUUAAGGCUGAGCUGACCAACCUGCUGCUGGUGGCAUCCUGUGGUCCAUGGCUGCACAUGUUCCCAGAAGGCAAAUGCAACUGUUGAAUCCC
rnacentral:lncRNA from 1 species